UAUGGAUGAAUUGAAGUGAAAUUGUGGAAUGUGGGUAAUGUAGAUGAAUGAAGAUUGUUGGUUAUAAUGUUGUGAAUGUUAUUACAGACGUUUGGGAAUUGAUAUAUGAUAUGAGGAAAGUUGUAUAAACUAAGGAAAUGCUGCCCAAUUUUCUCUAGCUUUAGUAAGCACGUUCAUAUAAUCGAUUAGCUAAUGUUAAUGCGAAUUCUCUUGAAGGUAGAAAUGUGAGCAUUGAAGGAGAACAAUCAAGCGAUGGAAUUGUUAAACGAAAGAGGUAAACAGGGAGGAGAUCCAGACUCGUAGGAGCUGUUAGCUGGCCUUGAGAGCACUCCAUUAUUCCGGAGGUGCCAUUGCUUAUUGUUUUGUGUAUAUGUAUUUUUGGCACGGCGGGGUCCUGUCCCGUCCCUAUGUCUAGCACUCUAGUAGAGGCUCGUAGAUACGUAUGUGUGGGUAGUAUGGUCUCACGAUGUCCUUAUUGUAUGUAUAUUAUUUUGAUAGCCGAAGGGCUUAUGUAUAUAAAGGUAAUUAUGUUCAAAGUGAAAAAUGGUUUUCCUA